AUGGACCACGCGUCCACUCCGAUUCUGAGCGCGCUGCCCGCACCCACCUGACGAUUGCUAGCUAGAUUUGUUAGCC
rnacentral:sRNA from 1 species